AGAAGGCCUUCAGGCUAUGACAAACACAGAGAAAUCAAAAAAUGAACGAAGAAGAUGGAAAAGGAUGUGUGAUACCAAAUCUAGAGGCCUGAUCUCAUCCUUCAGAAGGCAAAGGGCCCCUGGGAGGACUUUGUUGAACUGAAUCCGUAGUCAACUACAAUAUGACGUGUAAAAAAUGGCCUGGAGUCACUGAAAUGGGCAGUUUCUGGAUGCAGACACCCUGGGGAGGGGCCUACCUGUUCCACCCACCCACUGAUGAGAUCUUAGAUAUGCAACUCAGUCUCAGAGAGACUCCUUUUGCAAGGAUGGGGCUGGGAUAUCACUCCACUUCAUUGGAUGAAAACUCGGAUUCCAUGUGAGUGGCGCAAUAGGCCUCAUUUUCCGGGCUAGUUCAGGAUGACAAAUACAGAGAGGUUAAUCUCGCCCUGCUCGUGGAUGGGGAGAGUGGACUGACCCCAGAUCUCCUGACACCAAGCCCGGUUCUUUCCAGCCAAUGUUGUCCUGUGUACACUCCUCCGUGUGAGCCAACGAUGCACCGCAUGGUAAAGCAGCCUUCCCUGAGAACCUGGAAACGGGUCCAACUUGGAGGAAUCUCAUUAUCACUUUUCGAAGCUUUACCCUGACUGCAUGUUAAGUUGUAUAAUUUUUCUGGAUUUGGAUCUCGGAUGGAUGCUGGUUAUUGGCAAGUACUGUAUUUCAUUCGGGAAAAAUUUUCUUCAACCUGUAUUAAAAGACUGGAAAAGAAAAACAAAACAAAAAUCUUUCAUAUGAAAGGCAUUUAGGGAUUGUACUGCUAUUUGACUUAUAAAGAAAAUGGCAACAGUUCAAUAGGUUUAUUAUCUAAUUUUUUUAAGACCUAAGGAUUUAUGCCAUCUGGACCUUAUGAUUGGUCUCUGUUCAGUUUCUCCAUGAAACCCCGCACCUCUUUUUAGCCAUGGCUGAAAUAAAGCCCACGGCUGGGCUUCUCUCAUUGUCCAUAUACAUGACAGUUGUGGACUUUUAAAAAUUAUACAUAAUAAC